ensembl:misc_RNA 7SK 7SK RNA
GGAUGUUAGAGCAAUCUGACAGUGACAUCUGUCACUCCAUUUAUGCCAGGCUUGAUCUGAGGGAUUUGGCCAGCUGGAAGAUGUCCAGUGAUUCCCUCACUGUACUACACUUGUCAUCCUGCCGUAGGCACUAGCUAUAUCUUCAUGAUGUCACCCAAAUCAAAGAGGGUGAUACUCUCAGAUAGAGGAGGACCAUACUGGAACCCAUGCAAUAGAAUUUGUUGAACAGUCCUGCUAGAAUCUCAAAACAAAUCUGCAAGGUAGCUAUUGAAAUGCCAAUUUAAGUACUACCUUCAGUUUGUAGAGCUUCCCUAUAAAGGUAAAAAAAAUCUGCCUUCAAUG